rnacentral:rRNA from 1 species
CCUACGGGAGGCAGCAGUGGGGAAUAUUGCUCAAUGGGGGAAACCCUGAUGCAGCGACGCCGCGUGAGUGAAGAAGUAUCUCGGUACGUAAAGCUCUAUCAGCAGGGAAGAUAAUGACGGUAUCUGACCAAGAAGCCCCGGCUAACUACGUGCCAGCAGCCGCGGUAAUACGUAGGGGGCAAGCGUUAUCCGGAUUUACUGGGCGUAAAGGGAGCGUAGACGGCAGAGCAAGUCUGGUGUGAAAUCCUGGGGCUUAACCCCAGAACUGCAUUGGAAACUGUGCGGCUGGAGUGUAGGAGAGGUAGGCGGAAUUCCUGGUGUAGCGGUGAAAUGCGUAGAGAUCAAGAGGAACACCGAUGGCGAAGGCGACUUGCUGGAAUGUAACUGACGUUGAGGCGCGAAAGCGUGGGGAGCAAACAGGAUUAGAUACCCCAGUAGUC